AGGAUGAACGCUGGCGGCGUGCCUAACACAUGCAAGUCGAACGUCCUGUCUCGCAAGAGGCAGGGAGUGGCGGACGGGUGAGUACCACGUGGGUCAUCUACCGUGAGGUGAGGAAUACCGGCGAGAAAUCGCCGACAAGACCGCAUAGCCUCGGUGCAAGCCGAGGAAAGCUCUCUCGAGAGAGGGAGCGCCACACGAGGAGCCUGCGCCCGAUUAGCUAGCUGGUGGAGUAACGGUUCACCAGGGCGACGAUCGGUAGCUGGUCUGAGAGGACGAUCAGCCACACUGGGAUUGAGAACGGCCCAGACUCCUACGGGGGGCAGCAGUGAGGAAUUUUCGUCAAUGGGGGCAACCCUGAACGAGCAACGCCGCGUGCAGGAAGAAGGUUUUCGGAUCGUAAACUGCUUUUCUCGGGGAAGAGAACGGACGGUACCCGAGGAAUCGAGCCCCGGCUAACUACGCGCCAGCAGCCGCGGUAA
rnacentral:rRNA from 1 species